GGUAGAAUUCCAGGUGUAGCGGUGAAAUGCGUAGAGAUCUGGAGGAAUACCGGUGGCGAAGGCGGCCCCCUGGACAAAGACUGACGCUCAGGUGCGAAAGCGUGGGGAGCAAACAGGAUUAGAUACCCUGGUAGUCCACGCCGUAAACGAUGUCUACUUGGAGGUUGUGCCCUUGAGGCGUGGCUUCCGGAGCUAACGCGUUAAGUAGACCGCCUGGGGAGUACGGCCGCAAGGUUAAAACUCAAAUGAAUUGACGGGGGCCCGCACAAGCGGUGGAGCAUGUGGUUUAAUUCGAUGCAACGCGAAGAACCUUAC
rnacentral:rRNA from 1 species